AGCGAGUCCAGUCCGUGGCUGCUGACUCUUUACAGCACUCUACUUGGAGUCUGUAAGCCGCCCGGACUUUCAGCCGGACUGACAAGUGGAGUAUCUGUGUCAGUGUACGUUACUCAUCCGUCGUUGGGUCAGGGUCUGCGGGAUGGACCCCCGCAAUGUACAGUGAAACAGCUGCCUCGUUCACCCCUGCAAGAGAAGAGAGGUUUAUUUGGUGGAGAAAUUGAACUAGAGGCUCCAUACUGAAGGACACCCAAAGCAUAGCAGGAGAGCAAGAGAGGCUGGCACUAAAAUAGAGCUAUCCACUUAUUCCAGUUCAGUGUUGAAGAUGGCUGGAGCCCAUCCCAGUAGCUCAGGGCAGAAGGCAGGAACCAACCCUGGAGACCAUCAAGCUUCAGAUGAUCAGGCAACAAAGGCUCCAGCCAGUUGCAGGUGAAGACAGCACCCCUGGCCUUCAAGGAGCUACCCUGCCUUCUCUAGACAGAGCAGGACGAGAGUUCCAUGAUCCCCAUCAGACGUGCCUUGCUUCCCCUCACCUACCACCAUGAUUUAAGUUUCCCGAGACCUCUUCAGCCAUGUGGAACUAAGCCGUAGGGGAUUGUUCUCCAGUCUUGACUUUGAGAACUUGGUAGAGCUCCUGAAGGCUCACCUGAUAAGAGAUGUAUGUCACAAUCUGCUCACCCUGGCAUUUCUCUAAAUAGAAGCUACAACCAACAGCUUGAUGACACAUGCAGAGAUGGAAUACCCUGUGUUCAAGGAUGACAGAGGUUAAGUGGGCAAAAGAAUCGUGAAUGUUUUCAAUGGAGUCAAUAAAAUUAAUGAUAGGUAAAUAAAUCCAAAUUGAAUGAAGAUGGAAGUGCACUGAAGAGUGUUCUGAUGAAUAAAGAAUAAAGAAAAUAAAGAAAGUAGAACAUAUCAAUUGAACCAAUAAGAAAUGGUGGUAGGAAAGUGAAGUGUUUAAAAUAAAGCUUUUGAAAGUGGUAUAUAUCUUGCCACUACCUAGAAUUGAGGGAUGCAGGCAAAGCAUUAACCUUUACAGAGAGUGAAAUUUUAGUUAACAUCAGGAGGAGCACAGAAGAAAAAGAUGGAUGAUACAUGAAUUUUUAAUUCCAUAUAUCAUCUGAUUCAGAGUUACUACCAAGGGCACUGCAUUGUAGUCUGGGCGCUCACUAAGGGGAUGAAAGAUGACAGAUAAAAUCAGAUUAGGGCAUGUCCAAGAUAGUAAGCAAGUUAGAGUGCAGGCAAUUAUUCAUAAACUCAGGAACUUGGUUCUAGAAAUGAUAAAUAUUUCCCAGAAUGAACAAUGGCAAAUAAUAGGAUUUGUAAUGAUUGCAUCACAGAACAAAGUGAGCCAUUAGUUCAAAAUGGUGUUAUGGGUUCUUGGAAUCAUUAGUCUGUCUUAUAGCUAGGAAUCAUAUACCACUGCUCAAUAGGAAUAUGAUAGCAGGAGUAUUUCCCCUAGAUCCUGAGGCAAUAUGGUUAAAAAUAUAAAAUCAGAAGUAAAAUAGACAUAAUUUCAAAUACUAGCUACAUAACUUAACUGCUAAGAGAAUUACGUAAUUUCAAGCCAGAGGUUUUUCAAUUAGGAAAAAAACCUUGGAGGGGUGAUGGGAAGGUUGAAGAGUAAAUGAAAUGAAGUGUAGAAAAAUACCCAACACGUGUCUGAAUGUUACCUUCCUUUCUUUCCAUUCUCCUAUGGGAGCUGUGCCUCCCCCACCCCUCUUCCCUACUUCACUACCAUAUUAAUUGUGUACAUUUGUGUGCAAACUUUGUCACCAGGUAAGUAACAAUAACUUUAAUAAUUAACAGGAGUGGCAUUCAUUGUUUUUUUGAUAACCUGGCUCAUAGUAAGCACCACUAUUUAUUUACUAAAUUAAUGAAAUGUAUACCUGUGGAAAUGUUAAAGUUUUAUAUCCAAUAAUGGCAAUUUUUGUACUGAGUUACUAAUAUCAUUUUUAUUAUUAAGAAAUGUGUUAAACAUAUUUAACAAUAAAUAAGAUAGACAACUAUUG
rnacentral:lncRNA from 10 species